rnacentral:rRNA from 1 species
AUUGAACGCUGGCGGCAUGCCUUACACAUGCAAGUCGAACGGUAACGGGCCUUCGGGUGCCGACGAGUGGCGAACGGGUGAGUAAUGUAUCGGAACGUACCUUUCAGUGGGGGAUAACGUAGCGAAAGUUACGCUAAUCCCGCAUAUUCUGUGAGCAGGAAAGCAGGGGAUCGCAAGACCUUGCGCUGAUUGAGCGGCCGAUAGCAGAUUAGCUAGUUGGUGAGGUAAAGGCUCACCAAGGCGACGAUCUGUAGCGGGUCUGAGAGGAUGAUCCGCCACAAUGGAACUGAGACACGGUCCAGACUCCUACGGGAGGCAGCAGUGGGGAAUCUUGGACAAUGGGGGCAACCCUGAUCCAGCCAUGCCGCGUGAGUGAAGAAGGCCUUCGGGUUGUAAAGCUCUUUCGGCCGGGAAGAAAUCGUAUGGGUUAAUACCCUGUGCGGAUGACGGUACCGGCAUAAGAAGCACCGGCUAACUACGUGCCAGCAGCCGCCGUAACAC